rnacentral:rRNA from 1 species
UAUCCGCCAGAAAAUUACGAGCGAAAAGCUUAAAACUCAAAGGACUUGGCGGUGCUCCACUCCGACUUAGAGGAGCCUGUCCUAUAAUCGAUACCCCACGCUAAACCUCACCAAUCUUUGCAUUAUCAGCCUAUAUACCGCCGUCGCCAACUUACCUCGUGAGAGAUAAAUAGUAAGUACAACAGCCUCCAAACUAAAACGUCAGGUCAAGGUGUAGCUAAUAGAAUGGUAGAGAUGGGCUACAUUUUUUAAAAUAAAACAAACGGCACGGCGUUAUGAAACUAACGCCUAAAGGAGGAUUUAAUAGUAAAAUUAACAAGA